rnacentral:lncRNA from 7 species
GAGAGUAAAUAUUCUUGUUUAAAAAAAGGAUCUUGUUGGAAAUACUGAAAACAAUGUAAGGUUAAUUGGCCCGAACAAGCCGGCAUAUUGCAGCCUAGCACCCACGCCACGCACCGCGGCAAUCUGACCUGUCUUCAAUGGCAAUCAUGGCGGGAAGCGGCGGAGCAACCUUGGAAACAUCGUCCACUGUUCCACAACGUUGCAGAUUAUCCGCCGAACUCCUACGGGUAUUGACUCGGCGGUGGGUAGUAAGACGGCGUCCUGGCCGCGCCGUCGACCUCGAAGUACCGUGUCCCCGGCGGAGGGUAAUACGAGCCGACGGGAGGCGCCGGAUAGUACGGUAGCGCACGG